GCACGCGGAACUUUUCACGCAUUCAGUUGCAAGGGAGAGGGGGAUGGGGCCCCCUCUGGUUGCGUCGUGCGGAAGG
rnacentral:sRNA from 12 species